GGGAGACAUCGCGCGCGCUGCCGCCGCCGCCGCCGUUUCUUCUGGGCCGCGUGACGCGCGCGCUCGGUGGGCGCGUUCCCGCGGUGCGGGCGGGAGCUGCGCCACAGCGCUGGGCGGCCUCCGUGCUUCACCCACCGCCACUCGGCGGACGGCGCCGAUCCGGAGCUUUCAUCCGCCGCUGCCCGGGUUUUGGCGCUCUCUCCGCUGCUGAAAGCUCCGAGAAAGGCGGUGGAAAUUCUUCCUGCCAUGAAACACACUGUUCUCUCAAGACACGACAAGGCAUUCUUCAUUAAAUAGAGUGUGAUUGUGUUGCUCAGAGAGGAGCUACAUCAUUCUGCCUCUUCCUGAGCAUGAUUUGAAUGUCGGGAUCAGCCCAAGACAAUGCAAGAACACAAGCCAUGAAAUCAAGAAUCUAGGAAAAAAGAAGUGUCUUACCUCCGUUUUUUUUCUAGCAAGGGGUUCUGCCUUAUACGGUCUGGGGUAGAGCUGUUUCUUGUGUUCAUAGCAACAUCUGUCCGGUCACUGUCAUUCAUGUCAAGUAGCAGAGCAAUUUGCUGAUUCACUCAAAAGAGACACAGAAUGAGACUUUUUUCAUGGAAGCCUUUUUUUCCCUCCUGUGCUGGCAGACCUAACUCCUGGCUUUGUACUCUCCGGGACAGUCAUUUAAUGAGCAGUCAGUGAAUCAAUCCUUACAAGACACACAGACUGAAAUGUUCAAAUGCAACUACCUGAACGUGAAUCGAAGGCACUGAUGGGAGAAUGCAACAACCCUUUGCACAGUGCCCGGCGUCAGUCUUAUGCUUGCUUAUCUCACGGGAAAGUCACACUGUGGAUUUGAAUUCAUUAUUUAAUCUAAAUACUCUCAGAGAGACACUGGCUGUCAGAAGUGACUUUGUAAAUCAGUCUACGGGAGAUCGGAAAGGGGAGAAAUAGAUGACAACAAGGAGACGUCUUGAAGGAAGAACUAGGAAACAGCAGAAUGGUUGGAUGUUGGGGAUCCUCCACCUGUACCAGUCAGAAUUCCCUGGCCUCGAGUCUGUCUGUGCUUCAUGAACUAAGCAAAAAAAAAAAAAAAAAAAAAAAAAAAAAAAAGGAAUUAAAAGACAAGGUGAAAAAAAAAAAAAGGCAAAAAAAGCAAAAUGUCAGUAUAAGACUUCUUCACCUAAAUCAGAAAAUGCGGUUCUGAAGAGCCCACAGGAAGCUAGUAGACAAGGAGCAGUGGUGGAAUCUUAAUAGAAUUUAGCUGACAAAUGUGGAAGAGUGGCAUGAAUCAAUCAGAGAUUUACAGUUUGGCCAGGUUGGAUGGUUUCCCAGAAGGGUACUGAAAAGAACUUGAAGGCCAUGCAGCUUCUUUCUUUCUCAACUGUGAUUGCAUGACAGUUUAGUGGCUUCUGCCAAGAUGAAAAGGCAUGCAGGCAUCUUAAUAAAGUAGCUAAUGAGCAGAAUUUCUUUUGUUGAUGAAUAAAUGGUUUUUCCUACCUCAUUAUUUUAAAUGUGAGGACUGUGUUCAGUUUGGAGUGUGUUUUUAAACCAGCCUGAUGGACUUGCUUGACAUGGACAGCUCAAAUGGUUUCAGUUUGGCAAACUGGCAACCAGCUGAAAAUGUGAUCUUCUGCUGGUCACAGAGCAACAAGUGGUCUUGUGUGAGUGCAUACGAGUGGAUGAGGCUGUGAUUUGGACGAAGAGCUGAACAGCCGUGUGCCUGCAUCUGAAAGAGAGCACAGCUGGGCAAUGAUAGUGCAGAAGGAAGGCUCUAGAGACUCUUCUCAUUAAAGUAUCUCUGAUUGUCAAAGAGAACUGUUCGUUUGUUCUGUGAAUACUACCAUGCGUUACAGGUCUUGCUGUUUCCAAAGGCGAGUGGUGGUAUAUGGAAUGAAGGCACCAUAGCUGCAAACAGACUGGCAGUGAAAAUCUGAAUUUCGGACAGGACUUUCUAAGAAAUGUAUGUCCACACUGGUCUGCGGAGUCUUUCUGAAAUGACUGAAGGAAGGAGCCUGCAGGCCUUCACAAGAGGAGUUCCUUUUGGAACCAAAGGCAAUAAAACUCUUAGACUGCCAAUAUCAGGAGCUUGGUUUCAACAACCUGAGAUGCGAUGUGCAUGUGUCUGUUGCCUUAGCCUUUACCUUGAUGUCUUUCCAAAAUGUGUUCUCUGGAGUAAGUUCUCAUACAAGCUAGCCUGCUGUUCUGCAUCUUUUCUGUUUUCCCCAGGCUGCAGCAGGUUCACCUUCUAAGCUGGCCCAUCAGCAAUGCUGUGAGAGCUCAGUAGCUUUAUUUGCCCUGUCUUCUCCGUUUGUUUUUCCUUCAAACCCUUAGCAAGCCUUUUUGUCUUCGCCACCUCUGAACUCUCUGCUGCUGUCUUCUGCCUGGGUCCUACUGCACCAGGGGUCAUCUCUGCUUCAUGUAGUAUGGCCUUGGCCUCCAGCUGCCACUAGUUUGGGUUGAAGGCUGCGCAGGGGCUGUGGGGCUGAGCCCACAGCUGGAACACUGCCAUCAGCAUAGGGGAGGAGGGAAGAGGUCUUUUCUCGCUCUCCUUGCAUAUUUGCACCCAUUGGAGCCUUGGUGUUGCUGCCAUGGACCCACAAGGUUGCCCUCAUCAGUGCUAGGCAUUCAGUAUUCAGCUUGAACGUGGAGGUGUGCUUUGCCAGGAGGAACACCACCAUUUCCAGGCAGCAGGGAUGCACAUCACCAGCUCUCUCAGUGCCACAAGAGGCCAUCCCAACUCCAAACACUACAUGGGGAAGCUGCCUGGAAAAUGGGAGAGAAUUUCUACAUCAGGAGUGACUCAGGACUUUGGUAUAUUGCGUUCUCAAAUAUUUAUUUCAGUGUUCUUAUAAAUGUUUUAUUUGGAGAAAAAUAUUGUAAUUAGCCAAUAUUCCAUAAAAUCUAAAUAUUUUGCUCUAAGAUAGUACUUCCCCUGAUUGUGGAGAUUUGAUUCUUUGCUGAUUACACAGUUCAAGCUCUGUGUAUUGACGAGGGCUUUCCUCCACUCUGUGGUCUGUUUACAUGUGACUGAGGCCUUAAUCCAGGCACUCUAAUAGCAAGCGGGGACAAAGACGAUUUAUCCUUGGUUAAUCUUCAAAAAUUGCUUUUCAUCUGACUUUUUUUCCACUGAGGAAGAUUGCAUACGGGAACAGAAUGGGGCAGUUGAGGAAUAAAAAGCAGAGUUCCCUGUAA